AUGAGAUUAAAUGGUUCCGUCGGUUGUCGUGUGUCAGGCAUCGGCUGGGCAUCACGUUGAAAGACGGCCAGUAGAUCAGUGGUGUGUUUACCUCCACGGUGCCGGAACUGGGUCUGUUUGUCUCAAUGUUUUGGGUUCAAGGAUGAGACAGGGAGAGAGAAACAAAAUCCUAUUAGCGUAGGGGACGUUUGCAUGUAAUGCAAGUGUCACAUAGUGUUGUGUUUUAAUAUAUGCUUGGUUCCAGACAGGCUAGCUAUUGCGGCAUUAGUAUAUUACCCAGACGAGGUAUGUGAGUGCUUUGUUCCGUACAGGCUAACUAUUGCGAGACAUUUACUAGACAAAUUAUGUGAAUGCUUUGUUAAAAAAAAGUCUUAAGUUUAGAUUUAAAGUGACUAACAGCUUGCACCAGCGCAAACCAUCAUUUUGGUGUUAAAUAAUUAUGUCAGGAUUUACUAAAGUGGAAAUUUAGUGCUGAAAAGGUGUGGUCUAGUUAUUUUUGCGACUGACCUUAUUGCAAAUGUGACAUCAAUACAAUAUGGCUGAUGAGAAUAAUAAAGCACCAAAUACCAAAAAGAUUAGGUAAAAAGAGUUUUUUUGUUUCCUAAUGAUUAAACUAUGCAUUUAAACUGUAAAUAGAAAAAAACAUUUCCAAACCAGACAAACCUAAAGAUGUUUUUAAAGAUGAACAUUAUCUAUUGCAGAAAAUCAAACGAAUACCUGUGACAAAAAUUUUACAAUUGAAAUGGAAACAUUUCACAAUAACACCAUGCCAAAUGCAUCAAACUACAACAGGUAAUGCCAACUGUUUUUAAAUAUGUUUGAUCCUGGUGUUGACUUGUUUUAAUCCACAUUGACAUCAUCAUUAUGCAGGGAUGAGAAAGAAAUCAUAAACAACAUUAUAAACUGUGCAGAGAAACCUGUGAACGACAAACCUGGGAAUCUUGCCAUAGUUGUGGUUAUGAUAAAUGUAAGCAUGGUGGCAGAUGGUUAUAUGCCAAUCAACACUUCAAAGCUAUUUAAUGAUCCAAAAGCACCAUAUAUAUGGAUCCCAAUGGAGCCUUUCCUAAAUGUCUCAGAAGCGGAGCCCAAAGUUGGUGUAGUUGUCUACAAUUCUGAUGAGCAAUUCACUCUUGGACUGGGAAAUGCAAUCAUAACAUCUGAAGUUGUCCGGAUUGAAGUUCCUGGCCGUGCCAUUGUGAAUUUGACCGAUCAACUUAUAAUACAGUUCCCAGUCAAAAAGACAAAU